GUGAGGAAUAUUGGACAAUGUGCGCAAGCCUGAUCCAGCCAUGCCGCGUGCAGGAAGACGCAUCUAUGGUGUGUAAACUGCUUUUGUACGGGAAGAAACACUCCCUCGUGAGGGAGCUUGACGGUACCGUAAGAAUAAGGAUCGGCUAACUCCGUGCCAGCAGCCGCGGUAAUACGGAGGAUCCAAGCGUUAUCCGGAAUCAUUGGGUUUAAAGGGUCCGUAGGCGGUUUAAUAAGUCAGUGGUGAAAGCCCAUCGCUCAACGAUGGAACGGCCAUUGAUACUGUUAGACUUGAAUUACAAGGAAGUAACUAGAAUAUGUAGUGUAGCGGUGAAAUGCUUAGAUAUUACAUGGAAUACCAAUUGCGAAGGCAGGUUACUACUUGUGGAUUGACGCUGAUGGACGAAAGCGUGGGGAGCGAACAGGAUUAGAAACCCUGGUAGUCC
rnacentral:rRNA from 1 species